ACGGCUCAGUAACACGUGGACAACCUACCCUCAGCACGGGGAUAAACCCGGGAAACUGGGUAUAAUACCCGAUAGUUCUGGGAAGCUGGAAUGCUCCCAUGACGAAAGCUCCGGCGACUGAGGAUGGGUCUGCGGCCUAUCAGGUAGUAGUGGGUGUAAUGUACCUACUAGCCUACGACGGGUACGGGUCGUGAGAGCGAGAGCCCGGAGAUGGAUUCUGAGACACGAAUCCAGGCCCUACGGGGUGCAGCAGGCGCGAAAACUUUACAAUGCUGGCAACAGCGAUAAGGGGACCUCGAGUGCCAGGAUACAAUCUUGGCUGUCGCGAUGCCUAAAAAGCAUUGCAUAGCAAGGGCCGGGCAAGACCGGUGCCAGCCGCCGCGGUAACACCGGCGGCUCGAGUGGUAACCGCUAUUAUUGGGUCUAAAGGGUCUGUAGCCGGCCGGAUAAGUCUCUUGAGAAUCCAGCAGCUCAACUGUUGGGCUUUCAGGAGAUACUGUUCGGCUCGAGACCGGGAGAGGUGAGAGGUACUUCAGGGGUAGGGGUGAAAUCUUGUAAUCCUUGAAGGACCACCAGUGGCGAAGGCGUCUCACCAGAACGGAUCUGACGGCAAGGGACGAAAGCUAGGGGCACGAACCGGAUUAGAUACCCGGGUAGUCCUAGCCGUAAACGAUACUCGCUAGGUGUCAGCCACGGUGCGACCGUGGUUGGUGCCGUAGGGAAGCCGUGAAGCGAGCCACCUGGGAAGUACGGCCGCAAGGCUGAAACUUAAAGGAAUUGGCGGGGGAGCAC
rnacentral:rRNA from 1 species